ensembl:lncRNA
UGGAGAUCUCUGUCUGCUUGAGGUCUUUCAAAGGUUGGAAGCCCAGAACAGAGCACAUCUCCCCAUCGUCAUGGAAUGGUGGAAGUACAGAAGCUGCUAGCCUAGAAUGAACAAAAGGAAAUGGGGAUGCAGCAAAACCUUCAGUGGGUGCUUUUUCCUCUUCUGGAACCUGCUGAGGGAACGUCUUAAUUGAGAUGAGCAGUGAUUUGCUGUUAAACCCAGUCUCGAUUCUGUCUGGAGAUAGGAAGCUGCUCUUACUGGGAGAAGCCUGCAAUGUUGUACCAAUUUAUCUAAGGUGCUGGAGCUGCUGUAAGUCAAACCUUUGUGCCUAUGCUGGAAGCAUAAAUGCUAUUAAGGAAGGGCACAGUGAGGCAUGAAUAAAAAUUAGUUUGCUG